rnacentral:rRNA from 1 species
GAUGAACGCUGGCGGCGUGCUUAACACAUGCAAGUCGAACGAAGCACCUCUCCCGAAGAUUGACGCAGCUUGCUGUAGAUUGAUUCAUUUGAGGUGACUGAGUGGCGGACGGGUGAGUAACGCGUGGGUAACCUGCCUCAUAGAGGGGGACAACAGUUGGAAACGACUGCUAGUACCGCAUAGUAAGAAGAAUUCGCAUGUUUUCUUCUUGAAAGAUUUAUCGCUAUGAGAUGGAGCCGCGUCUGAUUAGCUAGUGGAUAAGGUAACGGCUUACCAAGGCGACGAUCCGUAGCCGGCUUGAGAGCGUGAACGGCUAGAUUGGGACUGAGACACGGCCCAAACUCCUACGCGAGGCAGCAGUGGGGAACAUUGCACAAUGGGGGAAACCCUGAUGCAGCGACGCGGCGGGAGUGAAGAAGUAGUUCGGUAUGUAAAGCCCUAUCAGCAGGGAAGAUAAUGACGGUACCUGACUAAGAAGCCCCGGCUAACUACGUG